rnacentral:misc_RNA from 1 species
UCAAACUUGGUCAUUUAGAGGAAGUAAAAGUCGUAACAAGGUCUCCGUAGGUGAACCUGCGGAGGGAUCAUUACCGAGCGUCGUGGCCCGUAAGGGCCUAGGCCUCAUAUCCGCUGUUUAAACCCAGCUUCUGCCUCGGCGGUCUGGAGGGGGGGAUGCCCCCCCUAACAGCCGUCGCUGGCGUCUUUUAAAACUCUUAUAACCGUUCUGUCUGAGCGGCGUAAGCCAAACCUCUAAUACAACCUGCAACAAUGGAUCUCUUGGUUCCGGCAUCGAUGAAGAACGCAGC